GCGCCGGUAGCUUAAUUGGCAGAGCAGUACUGAGACGGUACCCCCACGGUCCCGGGUUCAAGUCCCGGCCAACGCU